AUUGAACGCUGGCGGCAGGCCUAACACAUGCAAGUCGAACGGUAACAGGAAACAGCUUGCUGUUUCGCUGACGAGUGGCGGACGGGUGAGUAAUGUCUGGGAAACUGCCUGAUGGAGGGGGAUAACUACUGGAAACGGUAGCUAAUACCGCAUAACGUCGCAAGACCAAAGAGGGGGACCUUCGGGCCUCUUGCCAUCGGAUGUGCCCAGAUGGGAUUAGCUUGUUGGUGGGGUAACGGCUCACCAAGGCGACGAUUCCUAGCGGGUCUGAGAGGAUGACCAGCCACACUGGAACUGGUACACGGUCCAGACUCCUACGGGAGGCAGCAGUGGGGAAUAUUGCACAAUGGGCGCAAGCCUGAUGCAGCCAUGCCGCGUGUAUGAAGAAGGCCUUCGGGUUGUAAAGUACCUUCAGCGGGGAGGAAGGGAGUAAAGUUAAUACCUUUAUUCAUUGACGUUACCCGCAGAAGAAGCACCGGCUAACUCCGUGCCAGCCGCCGCCGUAA
rnacentral:rRNA from 1 species